AGUAUUUUCAUUCUGUUCUAAUUUUGAUGUUUCUGGACUGAUUACUUUUGGACACACCCUUUCACCUUUUCGAUGAAAGGGUGUGUCCAAAGAUAAUCAGUCCAGAAACAUCAAAAUUAGAACAGAAUGAAAAUACG
rfam:Camponotus floridanus CamFlo_1.0_2.contig603, whole genome shotgun sequence.